GUGCCAGCAGCCGCGGUAAUACGAAGGGGGCGAGCGUUGUUCGGAGUUACUGGGCGUAAAGGGCGCGUAGGCGGCGAUCCAAGUUAGGCGUGAAAGCCCCGGGCUCAACCUGGGAAUAGCGCUUAAGACUGGGUUGCUUGAGUGCGGGAGAGGUGAGUGGAAUUCCCAGUGUAGAGGUGAAAUUCGUAGAUAUUGGGAAGAACACCAGUGGCGAAGGCGGCUCACUGGCCCGCAACUGACGCUGAGGCGCGAAAGCGUGGGGAGCAAACAGGAUUAGAUACCCUGGUAGUCC
rnacentral:rRNA from 1 species